rnacentral:lncRNA from 1 species
AGGUACUUUCAACAACACAGACAUCGAUACUAGCUCUGGUGAAGUGGGCGGUGAUGAUGCAAACGAAAAUGAUCAUGUUAUGAUGGAUGAUGAUUAUGACCGUGGAGAUCAAAAUGGUGAUCAAACAUAUGCGUGUGUGGAACCACAGGUGGAUGAGGAACAUGAUGUUGAUAUGGAGGACAUGUUGCGCCACAUUGAACCGGAAGUGUUGCUACGAAAUUGUGGCGGAACCGCCCAAAUUAAC